rnacentral:rRNA from 1 species
CCUACGGGGGCUGCAGUGGGGAAUAUUGGACAAUGGGGGGAACCCUGAUCCAGCCAUGCCGCGUGUGUGAAGAAGGCCCUCGGGUUGUAAAGCACUUUCAGUGAGGAAGAACGCCUGGUGGUUAAUACCCAUCAGGAAAGACAUCACUCACAGAAGAAGCACCGGCUAACUCCGUGCCAGCAGCCGCGGUAAUACGGAGGGUGCGAGCGUUAAUCGGAAUUACUGGGCGUAAAGCGCGCGUAGGUGGCUUGAUAAGCCGGUUGUGAAAGCCCCGGGCUCAACCUGGGAACGGCAUCCGGAACUGUCAAGCUAGAGUGCAGGAGAGGAAGGUAGAAUUCCCGGUGUAGCGGUGAAAUGCGUAGAGAUCGGGAGGAAUACCAGUGGCGAAGGCGGCCUUCUGGACUGACACUGACACUGAGGUGCGAAAGCGUGGGUAGCAAACAGGAUUAGAUACCCGGGUAGUC